rnacentral:rRNA from 1 species
UACGUAGGGUGCGAGCGUUAAUCGGAAUUACUGGGCGUAAAGCGUGCGCAGGCGGUUCGACAAGUCAGAUGUGAAAUCCCCGGGCUCAACCUGGGAACUGCGUUUGAAACUAUCGAGCUAGAAUAGGUCAGAGGGGGGUAGAAUUCCACGUGUAGCAGUGAAAUGCGUAGAGAUGUGGAGGAAUAUCAAUGGCGAAGGCAGCCCCCUGGGAUCAUAUUGACGCUCAUGCACGAAAGCGUGGGGAGCAAACAGG